rnacentral:misc_RNA from 1 species
CUUUGGAUGCCCGUUGAUCUUUAUCUGCACAAUUGACAUCAUCCCACAUAUACUCCUCUUCAUCAGAACUCUACCAACUCCGACCCAUCAGCGUAUCACUCUGAUUGGCAAAGGAGUGUGUCGGUUGUGGAUAUGCAUCAGAGUUUGCUGUAUUCUGAGAUAGACUUUGGACUCCAUGCUUAAGGUCCAAGCCAUUUCUUUGAAUUAUCUUACCAUUUGCAAGAUUGUACCAAGAUUUAUCACGUCCCUCUUCCUUUAGCUUUUCACCUGUUAUUCUUAAUCCAAAGCCAGAACCCCUUGACAAAUCAGAAACAUAUUCAGG